GUGAUCCAAAACCUUUCAUGACCCGCCUGACCCGACCCGCCUAGCCCAUAACCGGAUCCCUUCCCCUGCUUUAAAAUCCCUUUCUGUCCUAGACCUAGAAGAAUAAGCACAGACUCUCUUUCAUUAGACCCAAGCGCGCACAAGAACAAAGGAAAAUGGAGAGCAACGUUAUCCACCAUCUCUAAAAACCUCAACAACCAGCAGCCUCACCCAUUCCCUCUCUUUCUUCUUUCCCACUUCCCAUUCAACACCAACGCACUAACCUAUUUUCCUAAGGCUGGAACGACAACCAUUUUUGUUAAAAAGAAACACACCGGAACACAGAAAACAAUUUCAAUAGUUAAGAAAAUAACUUGAAGCUCUAGAAUCUGAUGCUCUAAAAACCAAAACAAAAAAGAGUAAAGUUUCUGAUCUGGGUAUCGUUUGAUUUAGCUGGUUUUCCUUGCAAUUAGCUGUUUGAAGGUGGAAUUUGCUCGGGUGUUUCUGUUGAUUUUUGCGGAUAUUUUCAGCUGGGUUCUGAUUUCAACUUUUGGGCUCAAAUCUAUGUUUAAAAGCUGUUGUUCUUGCUGUCGCUGAUGGGCUCCAAGGUUUUGUUGAAUACACUGUCCGAGACUUAUUCACUACUUGAUUUUGCUCGAUUUAGUUGAUGUAAUAGCUGAGGUUCAUUUAUUAAAAGACUAUCUCAGGUAUGGGGCUGAACAUUUGCUAUAUCCUUGGAAUCUAUACAUAAAAGUUUGGAGCUAUCUGCUGUUUUGGGUGUAGUGCAGCCUUGUGAUUUGUUUUUGCUGAUGUUAAUGAUGUAUUUUACUUUGUUUUGGUUUGCCUGGUUGCUAUUUUAACAAGUUCAAGUUUGGAGUUAAAUGUAGUCCUCAUCUUAUUCACGUACUGGUACAAGUUUGUAAUAACUUUGGAUUGUAGUUUGACUAUAAAGAAUGAAAUUUAAUAAAGGUCAUAUGUAUGAGUCUCUCCUUAGGGUCAGUUUUGUGUGCUAAUAACUGUGGAUUAAGAAUCAGUAAAAAUGGUAUUUAAGUAAGUAAAUAGCGCGUAGUAUAGAAUUGAAAGAAUACGGAUUGGAAGUUGAUUGGCAGGUAGUCAUUAUAUUGAACAUGUAAUUUGAACUCCAAUGCAGUUUUUGUGGUAUUUUUAUGUUGAGUUCACUGCAAAUGGCGUUAGAACUUGGUGCAUAAUUUUAGUUGUGAUGUUAAGUGCCGAAGUGCAAUUGGGCCAGAUUAAAAAAAAAAGGGUCCAGUUAGGUUCAGUUUAGUAAGUCUUUAUAGUUCAAAUAUUUGAUUGCCUUGUAAAUAGAUUCCCGGUUCAAAGGUGCAAAAAUUGCACAGCAUGUUCAUUUUAGCAUUUGAAUCUCGAUUUGCUUAUUUGUUGGUAUAAAGUCAUGUUUUCACUUACUGCUAGAUUGCAUUGGUAUAGAUACUAUAAAUUCAGUUUAUUGGCAUGACAUUCAUCAAUUUGAUUUCGAGGCAAUCUCCUUUAAUCAGGUGAGUUUAGUUUGGUUUGAUUACUAAUCCAUCCCAUAUCUCUCCACAAUGUUAUAUCCAUAAUUCGAUACCUUCACAAGAAUCUCAAACGUAGGAGAUAAACAACGUAUGAACAUCGUAGCUUGCUUUAGGAGCAAUUAAUAAAUCAUUGUGGCUAUGGGUACGGUUCCCGUAGCAUGACCACGAUACAUAAUCCCCAAUUCGGGUGUGCAUUUCAUGUGACCCGAUUAUAACAACUUCGAAUAAUAAAACCCUCUUAAAUAAAUUGAGGCGUGCCAUGCCAAACAAAAUUUAUAAUCCAUGGCCCUCAUAAGAUUAGAUUCAAGAACUAACAUUUAUGGAAAAAAGUUUGAGGUGUGCCAUAAAUAAAUUAAAUCAUCCAUGACCCUCACAAAUAUUGCUAUUGAAUAUUGAAUCUUCGUAAUUGCUUUGGGCGCGUUAUUUAAAUAAUUCAUUAUAGUUACAGGUACGGUUCCCGUAACGUAGUUGUGAUUUUUAAUUACUAAAAGUCGGGUGUACAUUUCAUGUAACCCAAUUUUAAUUCCUCCGCAAUGUUAAAUAGAACGUGUUGCGAACCGCGGGUGCACUUCAUGUAGCGUGGUUCAAGGGGUGUUUUAAAUAACGUUGAAUUUUCCUAAAAAGCACUUUUUAAAAUAAUUAAAAGCGAUUAUAAAGUAAAAGAUGCACAAUAGUCUAAAACAUGUAAUCAAUCAGAUAAUUAGGCCAAUUAUUAAUAGUUUAAGNNNNNNNNNNNNNNNNNNNNNNNNNUAAACCGGUGACUUGGGACACCAAUAAACUAUCCCAAGUGGCGACUCUAAUUAAAUAAACAAUCUCAUUUCGAAUAAUGUCACUUAAAGUGGAAAAACUCUUAUAUUACCCUCGGGUGGUAAAACGGAGGUGUGACAAAACCUUUAAUAGCAAGACACUCAAGCAAAAAUCUACUGCGGGACAGAUGGAUAGUCUUUGGCUCUAUCGCAAAAUUCCCAUCGGGAAAUUAAGUUUGUUAUUGGACAAAGGUUAUCCAACCGUUCACAAAUACAAACCAUUAAAUGAUUGUUAGAUAGUCUUUUGCUCGAUUACAUAAAUUCCUAAGGGGAAGCAAAGUUUGUUACCGAGCAUAAGAUUGUCUAGCAAUUCAUUAAUGGAGUCCUCAAAGGUGCAAGACUUCCAACAUUCCAAUUCGCAUUCUUUGCGUUCGAACAAUUGGGGGGGGGGGGGGGAGAUGAUAUGAGGAUACCGCAACAAUGACUGCUACGUCGACCGGGAAACGAAAAAUCGGAAACAAUUGCAUCAUCAGAACCGUAACUGCGAGGCUAGCCCCGUAGAAACAAGUUGUACAAGAUAGCCAUAAGUAAUGACAAUUUCUUUUUAGCAUAGAAAAUGCUUAUGAAAUUUUAAAUUUAGAAGGAAUUAAAUAAAGUAAAAUCUUUCUAUUUUUAUCUUGUUUCUAGUCUGAACGAUGAACUAACUUUGUCAUUUGAAAAUUAAACAAGUACUUCAAAUGCUAGUGCCAUAAUGAACAUGAGACGUCAUCUUCAAGAUCACCGUAAAUAUAAGAGGGCCCUCUCUUAUCAAAACACUCACGUUAAAGGUUGGUUUCGGAAGAAUUUAUGCCCGAAAUAAAAAUACCAUGGAGAAAAUACCCCCGAAGAUGUAUACGAAAGGACGCAAGAAGUAAACUUGCAAAAAUACUUAUAAUAAGCCCUCACAAAAAAGGGUUGAUGCCCGAAACCAAAAUGCUUUCGGAAAAAAUACAUCCAAGGCUACACGCAAUAAGACGCAAACAGGAAAACUUGUGCAAAGUCCUUAAGCAAAAGGAAGCAAAUGCAAAGAUUAAAAACUUGCAUGGAUAUUCAAACGGAAGUAAGACUCAAACAAUACUUGAGCAAAAAGAUGUCUUUAUUUACAAAAACAUGCCAAAACGACAUAGGUACAAGAAUUGGAAAAAGAAAAGAAAAGCUAAACUGCAGUAUCUCCGGAACCAAAAAGAGAAGUGUCUGCGCCCCCGGGAGAAGUAGAUGGAUCCACCGAUGGCUCGACAUUUUCACUAGUUUGGCCUUCAACAUCAUCGUCCUCCAAUUCUUCUUCAGUUACCGAGAACUUGGAACCGGAACCGGGAGGACCAGGAGCAUCAGGCUAUACUGGGAGUCCAUUUUUAGUAGCUAAUUCAAGCUCGCGGGCCUUAGUAAUUUCAGCAUCAAAAUUAAGGAUACCUGUUUUGGCCUCUUCCAAGGUUUUUCUUCUCAUGUUGUACAUGGCGUAAGUUUUCUCAACAAUGAGGGAAGCCCGCAGAAAGUCUUUCCCGGACGGACCUAACAGAUCGGAGGCUAACAUCAAGGUCACAGACAGUUGAACUAAAGAGCCUAUUAUGCUCAAUAGUUUUCCUAUACUUCUCUUCCAGCUGAGCAUGUUUCGCCCCCACAGUAGCAAGCUCUUCAAUUUUGGAACUCAAGGCUGCCUCUAAGUUAGUCACUCUUUCAGCGGAGGAAACCUCGUGUUCGGUUGCAGCAAGAACAACGUCAUGGACAUCAGACCAUUUGGCCCUGGCCUCAUCAAAUCUAACCCUCAGUGGGCCAAAGAGUUACCACCUCUUGCUUGCUUUGCUGCAAACGAGCCUCCAAUACGACGACCUCAGUGGCCUUGGCUUCCAGUUCUGAGAGCGUACGACACUUUGCUCCCGCUCUGCAAAAACCUAAUCCCGAGUAGAAGUAGUUUCUUACUUCUCACAAAUCAGCCUCUGAAGACCCUCGUAAGCAAGAAAGUUGUCUUACAAAACAAGAAAGGUAAAACUCAAAAUACAUUCAUACAAAAAUAGAAGAAAUAACGAAGGAAGAAAGGAACGUACCGCUGCGGCAUUGUACAUGGAGUUGUUCAACAAACACUCCCCCAGAGUGCCUGAAUAUUUUCCCAAUCUUUCUCUGAAGCCAAAGGCUUGAGAUAAUUAGCAAGCUCCAUCGGUCAAGAUAGCAAGUUGCAUCCUGUAGUGACUGAAGAGUAACAUUCCUCCUCCUUUGUGGAUCUUCAGAAGGGGGAAGAGGAACACCUUCUUCAUGGUCAAAUGCAAUCGGUGGAGAUGAUGUAGCAAUUGCUGGUGGAAAAGUGGAUGAAGAUGGAAAAGAUAUAGCAACUGCUGAUGUUGGUGAAGAUGGAAAUGAAGCUGAUGGAGUUGAAGAAUAAGAAUCAACUACAUCAAAUGCAGUGAUGGUUGUUGGAUGCUCGCCAACCAAGGAUGACAGGGACUCGGUACUUAGCCUCGCAGUACCGAGCACAGCAAUUGGGGCCCGAAAAUGGGAGUUGUCAUUUUCCACUAAAUCAAACUCCCCCUAAAGCGUCGAGGCGUCGUUCUCAGUUAGUGUAACUAUAUCAACAGACUGAGCAUUCUGUUGAGUUGAUGAUGAACGUCGCCUUCAAUAGAGAAGCCCCAUCAUCACUAGCUUCUUCAUCAUCGUUGAUCAUCACUGUGACUAUGACCGGCCCAGGAGGAGGGCUAGUGAUUACAACUUCCGGAGACGACUCAGGGGUAUCAAUCUUUGUCUUCUUAUUCUUUUCCCCGGUCGCGGAAGAACGCCUUCUCUUUGGUUGUUUGUCCUUAGGACAGGGACUCCAUGGUAAAGCACAUGUGCCGGAAGUAGGCCCAGAGAUACCUAUUCAAUUAAGUGCCUCGUGAAGCAGCCUUGCCGCAUCAGUAGGAUUAGCCAAGACGUCCUCCUCGGGGACAUCAAUAGAACCCGCAAGUAGACCUGAUUUCUAGAAAAAGAUAGAAGGGAUCAAUCAAUUUCCUCACAUAAGAAGUUGAAACAAGGUGAGUGUGAAUUACCAUAAUUUUUGGCCUUUCACCCAUAUUUAGGGGCCAAUUCUUUCCACAAAUGAGUUUCGGGUGUCGUAACAUCCAAAAUUUUCUGAACCCAUCAGUCUGAACCUUCAACCAGCGGUGGGAUCCUUCGAGUUGCUGAAAUAUGCAAAGGAUAAAGGAUUAAUACGACUAUAGAAAUAUUUAGUAAAAAGAAAUAUUAAACAAAGAUCUUAUGAGUACGAAUCCAAGCGGCCGGAAAGGAUGAAGCCGUUGUCGGAAUGAUGUCAUUGGUGGCAACUGCGACAAACCGUUCCAUCCACCCACGAUCACUAUCAUCAUCCAUGCUAGUCAACAUAGCUUGGUGACCAUGUUUGCAGAGGUUUAUCAUUCCCCGCGGAAGAUCUUGGGAGAGUAGAGAUUCAUCAUAUGAUCUAAGGUUAGCUCUUCUCCUGUCUCCUAGCACAAGCGCCAAAGGCAAGCAACUGUCCUCCACAUGGAAGGACUUACUUGUUCCAAACAUACUUGGUAGCGGAGGCAAAACUCCGCAAUCACGGAAUCAAACUCUCCACUCAAAUAAAACGUACCCAAUGUAAAGGGAUACGUGUAAAAAUAUGUCAAACCCUCCUUGGGAAGGGUCACUCGCUCCAAUAGAUCAGGAGCAAUAAUAUCUAACUCUUGGUAGCGACAUUCUUCCUUCACAACAAGAAUGAUGGAAGGACGGAUGGAAUAAGGGUACCUACUGACGGCCCAUGUACGAGAAUUAGCAAUAGGGAAUUUCUCUUCGAAGUCUUUUGUGGUAAUAAGACUUCUAGGGUUGAUGGAGCCCGCUAUUGCAGGAACAGAGUCCUCGGCCUUGUUCCUGUUCAUUGAAGAAUUGGUGCUCUUUAAGGAAGAAGCCAUUGUAUGGAAGAAGGAGAAGGUUUUUUGUUAGAAUAUAAUUAGAAAAAAAAAAAUAGAGCAUAAAGGUGCAAAUCAGAAGCUUGAAAAAUUAUGAAGUAUAAGGGAGAAGGUUGAUGCGUAUAAGUAAAAAUUUUGGCGGCUAAAUUCAUGGCCAUGAUUACCCCGGUAUCGACAAAGCUUGUGCUGAAUCAUGGGAUGACGAGCGUUCGGGGCAGUAAUACAGAGAGACGUGCGCCUAAUAAACCGUCAUAAGCUUUCAAAGGGGAUUAUAGUAAUUCCCGCCAAAAGAAUGUUUCUUCUAACUUGCCGAUAACAUGAAGUUAUGUCACCGAAAAGCAGGGGGACUAUCUGUAUAGGGUAAAAAUAUGCUAUGACACGUGGUCAUCCAAAGGAACGACAUGUGGAAUCCAAGACGGGGAUGGCCAGAGACCAAACAGUCAUGUUCCCCUUGUCACCGGAAGGAAUAACGUUCAUAAAGGUGUGUUAAAUGCUUUGCGUCCUGUAGCAUUUAAUAAAGAAUAUUCUGCAACAUUAAAUAGGAAAUUUGACAUUUAUGUUCACCGUUACAUCUUCAUCAAUAACCCUCAUAAUUGACAUUAAAUAAGGGCACGAUCCUAGGACCUCCUUCCCUAGACAUAAUUAUAAAUAGAGUUCAGUUAUCAUUGUAAGAGGACAGAUUUUCUGGCAAUCUUACACUACAUUCUAUACAAAGCUUAAUAUAAUCUUACUUUCUCGCUUUUCGAUUUCACUACUAUUGUACUCGGAAACCUUGUUCCCGAAUUUGUCACAUAUGUCGUUCCGCCUACAUUUUAAGGCUAAGUAUUACAUAAUUCUUCGAUUAUUUUAUUAUUUCAGGAUCAAAUUAGUUUACUUGUAUAGAAAUUACGUAUAAAUUCAACUGUACCAUUUUGCGGGUAAACAAACUCACCACUGUAAAAUAUCAUAAACUACCUUACAAUGUGUUCACAAACACCAUAUAAAAUUAUUAUUACCCGAAGAAGAAGAAGAAGAAGAAAAAGAAAGAGGAGAAAAAUGUAUGAAGUUGUUUAAAUAGUAGGUAUAAAUUAAAAAAAAUUAAAAAUAAGUACAAGUUAAAUGGGAGCGCCCAAAUAUGACGCAUGUCCAAUUUUUUGCGUCUCAAUUGAUCUAAACGUCUCAUUCUUACAGUUCAAUACGAAUUGGAAACUAUAUAAAGGGAAUUUCUAGACUCGAAAUAAAAGCUAAGUUUAACUAAACGUCAAAUAAAGUGAGCACAUAGUGACUUUGGCAAAUAGUACACCAUGUAAGAAAGGGCUCAAGCUAGCCUCCAAAUUAUUCUAUUAAACUUCUUUAAAUAAUCUGAGCACAUACUGAGUGCUCGUUAAUAAACCUUCAAAGAAACUGCUUUGAAACUGAUGAGGCAUAGGGUCACAUUCUUGUUUUUAAUGGAUAUUUAAAACGAAACCAAUAUUAAUGAUUGAAUUGAGAGACUACACAACAAUCUUCACCCACUACCAAAUUUUUUGCUACCACAUAUUUUGGCUGAUCAACAAGGCACUGCCUACCCAAGAUUUGUGAAGACUACAUGCCCAACCAACUACCUUUUUGGAAAGUGAUACACUCCAACGAUCAACAACAACAACAACCCAGUAUAAUUCCACUUAGUGGGGUCUGGAGAGGGUAGUGUGUACGUAGACCUUACCCCUACCCUAGGGUAGAGAGACUGUUUCCAAAUAGACCCCCGACAUCCUUCCCUCCAAGAACUUCCCACCUUGCUCUUGGGGAGACUCGAACUCACAACCUCUCGAUUGGAAGUGGGGGUUGCUUACCACAACGAUCAUCAUUUUGAUUAUAAUUUUUGUAAUGUAUUGCAACAAGCUCUUUAUAAUGUCACAAUUUAAAUCAAUAUAAGUUCGUCUGUUGACAAAAAAAAAAAAGAUUCUUUAAACGUGAAUUUGAAAUUAAUAACUGAACCCUACAAGACAUGUUCUCCAAAUGUGUAGGCUGCUUAUUUGGAAUUGAUAGGCCAAUUUUUUAUUGCGAGUGCGACAAAUUCAUCAAAUUAAAAUGAUAAUUCUAUAAGCAUGAUCUCCAAAAAUGACAAGCAAGACGAGUUAUUGAAUUAUACUCUAUAGACAUACUUCCUAGGUUGUGACAGAAUUGGCAUGUUGAAGUUGUGUUAUGUCACAUAGGCAUGAUUUCUAAGCCGAACAAGGCAUAUCGAAAUUGUAUUAGAUUCUAUAGGCAUGUUUUCUAAAUAAUAAUAGAUACAUCAUAUUAGAAUUGUAUUAAGUCCUAUAGGCAUAUUUUCUCCUCUAAGUAAACGAAUCCCCAAACCCCAAUACUCACAAUAUCCCCGAAUUUAUUUACAAAUAAUUAUUACAUGCCCAAAUAAAUAAUAAAUAAAUUAAAAGAAACAUUAGCUAGUUAUAGACCUAGAGCAUGCUCUGGACCUUACAAACUCCCGCGGCCUCUUAGCCUCUACUCCGAAAGCCCAAAUUUGGACCUGACAGUCCACAAGUAUAAAGACAAGAGGAACUACCAGCUAUGUCCAUUUAUAAGUAGCUUAUUAUAAAAAUUGAACAAUUCAUAAAAUAUUAUUAAUAUUAGCCAAAUAUUACUAAUAUUAACCAAUUAGCUAUUUGUAGCAAAAAAAGAUCAAAUUUUUGCUUUCUUUUAAGUGGAUAUUAUUAGAGUAGAUUGGAUGCAUCUUAAAGAGCUUGAAUCUCAGUUUUGGGAUGAUUUGAUGAAGUUUUGAGGUGGUUUAAAUUAAAAAUGCGAAGUAAAAACUGAGCAUGAAAAAAAGAUAUGUGUAUCACACUGUGUAUCAUAUUUGUAUCAAUUGUGUAUCACAUGUAUAUCCAUGUAUGCAAGUGUGUGAGAUACAUGCGUGAUACGUGUUUGAUACACGUGUCGCAGAAGAAUUUUUGAACUCGAUUUAAUUACGAAUUUUGAUACAAAACUUGUCCAAAUCACCUCUAAUUUUCCUCAAAUUUUGUAUAUUGACUAAUCUAUAUGUUUUCAACGAAUUUCAACUAUACCCAUUGAAAAAGUUCCUUUUUUGCUAAGAUUUUUGGAAUAUUAUAUUUUUUUUUUGUAUUUUAUCACCUUAUUUGCUACCUCAUCUAUGAAAUUUUCUUCCAUCUUGCAUCUAAUGUUGCUAGUCACCUUAAAAAUAUGGGAAGAAAGAUUUUUNNNNNNNNNNNNNNNNNNNNNNNNNNNNNNNNNNNNNNNNNNNNNNNNNNNNNNNNNNNNNNNNNNNNNNNNNNNNNNNNNNNNNNNNNNNNNNNNNNNNNNNNNNNNNNNNNNNNNNNNNNNNNNNNNNNNNNNNNNNNNNNNNNNNNNNNNNNNNNNNNNNNNNNNNNNNNNNNNNNNNNNNNNNNNNNNNNNNNNNNNNNNNNNNNNNNNNNNNNNNNNNNNNNNNNNNNNNNNNNNNNNNNNNNNNNNNNNNNNNNNNNNNNNNNNNNNNNNNNNNNNNNNNNNNNNNNNNNNNNNNNNNNNNNNNNNNNNNNNNNNNNNNNNNNNNNNNNNNNNNNNNNNNNNNNNNNNNNNNNNNNNNNNNNNNNNNNNNNNNNNNNNNNNNNNNNNNNNNNNNNNNNNNNNNNNNNNNNNNNNNNNNNNNNNNNNNNNNNNNNNNNNNNNNNNNNNNNNNNNNNNNNNNNUUGAUACACGUGUCGCAGAAGAAUUUUUGAACUCGAUUUAAUUACGAAUUUUGAUACAAAACUUGUCCAAAUCACCUCUAAUUUUCCUCAAAUUUUGUAUAUUGACUAAUCUAUAUGUUUUCAACGAAUUUCAACUAUACCCAUUGAAAAAGUUCCUUUUUUGCUAAGAUUUUUGGAAUAUUAUAUUUUUUUUUUGUAUUUUAUCACCUUAUUUGCUACCUCAUCUAUGAAAUUUUCUUCCAUCUUGCAUCUAAUGUUGCUAGUCACCUUAAAAAUAUGGAAGAAGAUUUUUGCAUGUGAUUCUUUGAGAGAAAGAACCUUAUUUAUUUGAUUUUUCAAUUUUUAUAUGUGCUUGACUAGUUUUGAUAAGUCUAUAACUAAUGACUAGAGGUUGGUAAGUUAAGAUUUAUUUGGGACAUUUGUGUAAGUUUUCCUUAAAGACAAAGCGGACAGCCAGCAGGAGCAUUUGCAUCUAUACCCGUUUUUUGAGUCACGUUUUAACUUGUGCCCGCUUUGCAAAUUUUUUUUGCAAGCAUACCCACUUUUUCGCGUAACUUCAGCAUACGGGGCUGAAGUAGCAAAGACAAUCACGCAAAACUUCAGCAUUCUAGUAGACGGGACUGAAGUAGCAAGUUUUUGUUUUUGUAACUGACGAACUUCAGCUCUAGAGCUGAUGUUUUUGUUUGUAAUUGGCGAACUUCAGCUCUAGAACUGAAGUUUUUGUUUGUAACUAGCGAAUUUCAGCUCUAGAGCUAACGUUUUUGUUUUUUUAACUGACGAACUUCAGCUCUAGAGUUGAAGUUUUUAUGUGUAACUGGCGAACUUCAGCUCUAGAGCUGAAGUUUUUGUUUUUAUAACUGGCGAACUUCAGUUCUAGAGCUGAAUAUUUUAUUUUGUAACUGGCGAACUUCAAAUCUAGAGCUAAAGUUUUUCUGAUUUGCUCUUGUCUGAUACAUAAAAAUGCUAGUCUGGUUUCUUCUACAGAACUACUGUGUCGUACAAGUAUUACUGUCACCAAAAGUUGAAGGGAAGAAAACAAAAAAUAGCAUUAGUUUUUAGAGUCACUUAUCAUCAUCAGAAUACAAAAUCAAAGUAAAAGAUCAGCGAUAUACUACAAUUAAAAGUAAGAGGCGCAAACUUUUCUAAGCAAGCAGCAGAUAAUGCAUCCAAGUUACAAAACAAAGUUUUAGUGUCUAUCACUACAUUAACGACAGCUCAAGAAAGUCUACUCAAAGGAAAGGAUACAGAUAUUGAGAGAAGCAGCUUGAUUUUAAAAGAUACCGCAUUCUUUUCUUGACAAAAUUUCAACCAGAAUUGAGGAAAACAAAACUGUUCCGUUUAACAACACAGUCCACCCUUUUUACUAAUAGAAAACGAAGUUGUUUAAAAAAAAAAAAAGAAGAAGAAAACGAAGGACGAGAAGGAGGAAGAGAAAGGGGGCCGAAAUUGUUUAAAAAGUGGGUAUAAGUUACAACUUUUUUUAAAAAUGGGUAUAGGUUAAAUGGGGGCGACCCGUGCAAUUUUUACCGGCCAACACUCAAGCACAUAUAUCAAUUCCGGCCCAUGAAACCAGACUCAUCCCAGAAGCAAUGCUCUUUUACCCAACUCCACCAAUAUGCAGUCAUGUGUACAUAAUCAAAUUCAAACACGAUGUUCUAUAGGCAUAAUUUCUAAUGCAAUGCCAGAAUUUGACUUAAACACGGAAGUCAGAAUAGUAGAUGGACAUACACAAAAGCCUACGGGCAUGUUUUCAAGUUUUCUUUUAGAACUAACCAAGCAGAAACAAAAGAGAGAAAACAAGGAGGGGUUUUGUAGCCAUGCUUUUUAAAAUGCAAAUUCAGAACCAGACGAACAAAUACCAAUACACUAGGAAAACACAUACGGAAUCAAUUAGAACUAAAUAGAGAUAGAAAUAAAUCCUUAUAGACAUGCUUUCUAUUAAAACCAAGGUCAAUGCAAAGAGAUCAAAAGAGGACAAUCAAAUGCAAGUUUGACAUAUAAGAAUCCUAGAAGCAUUGAUGGUAGACUAGAAAUCCGUAUUAUAGUCAUAGUUUGCACACUAAUUACUGUAUUUUACUUGUGUUUGAGCUUAAAUGAUGGUGAUUUGCACUUAUUACGUAUUUUAUGCAUAACAGGAUAUGAUUCCAAGUUAAAAAGAUAAUUUGAAGCUAAAGCGAUCAAGUUGGAGCUUUGAAGUCUGAGUAAAAGCCCAAGGAAUUAAACUGAAAUCGUGUUCGAGCGUCGAGGACCAAGUUUGGAUAUCAAACAGUGCACGAAAAUAAUUACUCUGAGAAACUUGCACUACCGCGCUGCAUGGGGCACCGCGAGGCGCUACGUGACAUUGCAAUUGUGCCUGACAAAUGAAUUGACAUGCCC
rnacentral:lncRNA from 1 species